rnacentral:rRNA from 1 species
UACAGAGGUGGCAAGCGUUGUUCGGAAUUACUGGGCGUAAAGGGCGCGUAGGCGGCCUGGUCAGUCCCGUGUGAAAUCCCUCGGCUCAACUGAGGAACUGCACGGGAAACUGCCUGGCUUGAGUUCGGGAGAGGGAAGCGGAAUUCCGGGUGUAGCGGUGAAAUGCGUAGAUAUCCGGAGGAACACCGGUGGCGAAGGCGGCUUCCUGGACCGACACUGACGCUGAGGCGCGAAAGCUAGGGGAGCGAACAGG